GAUGAAAUUGGGGAUAAAGUUAGCUCAUGGGGAGUUGGGGCAGGGCCUCUGUUUCUGCCUGUUGUUGUAUUCUAGUGUAUGUGUGUGUUCAGUCUCCUACUUGUGUUGUUGUAACAUUAUUAUUAACUGAUGAUGAACAAACAGAUCACACAUUGUACCACUAUUUUGUAUUUCUUCAGUGCAUAAGAUGGUUACAGGUCAAUUCAAUUCUAUAUUUUUGUUAUGGUAGAACAUACAUUUCCAUUGCCUCCACCUGGCUGCGAUAUUUGUAUGUUGAUAUGUUUUCUCGAAAAAUGUUUGUCAAGACAAAGACUACUAAAACUUUUGCUCAAGUGUAAUAAUCUGCAACUCCUCCUUACCCCUGCUUCUACCAAGGGUACUUUGUCCUUCCAACAGAAGUGGAACAGAUGACAAUAGUCUCAGUGGAGGAGUUUUUACUUUGUGUUGUAGAGAACUGAACAUUUUCCUGGUCCUCAUUUGCUUGUAGCAUUUCAUGAAGCUGACAUGUAGGGUCCUGGGCAGAGGAACAAAAAUCAGAAAUGGCAAAUUGUUAAAUAUUUUGCUAUGAACAAACAGAUCACACAUUGUACCACUAUUUUGUAUUUCUUCAGUGCAUAAGAUGAUGAUCACAGGUCAAUUCAAUUCUAUAUUUUUGUUAUGGUAGAACAUACAUUUCCAUUGCCUCCGUUUGGCUACAGUAUUUGUAUUUCAAUACGUUUUCUUGAAA
rnacentral:lncRNA from 1 species